rnacentral:rRNA from 1 species
GGAUUCCCUUAGUAAUGGCGAAUGAACAGGGAUGAGCUCAGCAUGGAAAUCGGGGUCUCCCGACCUUGAAUUGUAGUCUGUAGAUGUACUGCCAACGGAGGCGCAGAUGUAAGCCUCUUGGAAAAGAGCAUCAACGAGGGGUGAGAGUCCCGUUUGUCAUCUGCAGUCCCCCGUGCACGGUGUGCCUUCUAAGAGUCACGUUCCUCGGGAUUGGAGCGCAAAGUGGGUGGUAAAUUUCAUCUAAAGCUAAAUAUUGGUUCGAGACCGAUAGCAAACAAGUACCAUGAGGGAAAGGUGAAAAGGACUUUGAAAAGAGAGUUAAAAGUGCCUGAAAUUGCUGAAAGGGAAGCGAAUGGAACCAGUGUUCUUGAUGAGAUUGUUGCGUACUCUGGUGAUUGCUGGGUGUUCCACCGCAAGGGGGGCAUCUAGUUUUGAGCUAGAUGUGCGUGGUGUUUCUUGUCUUGUGUGUCACCGUCGGUGCACGAACGAGUAAACCUCCAGGGGGCUGGUAACUCGACCACGGUUGAAGUGAAUACCUUUGGCAGUACUCAUUUGUGUAUCGAUCCCUGCGUGUCUGGUUGCAGUGUUUGGGUCGCCUGGAAACUCCUGAAGGGCUUGUCCUCGAAGGAGUCCUUUUGGGCGCCCUGAGCAUCUCCCUGACACAAAGACGAUGACUAAAUGGUUCUAUUCGACCCGUCUUG